AUACGGAGGGUGCAAGCGUUACUCGGAAUCACUGGGCGUAAAGCGCGCGCAGGCGGUCUUUUAAGUUGGAUGUGAAAGCCUACGGCUCAACCGUAGAACUGCAUCCAAAACUAUUAGACUAGAGUGUGGGAGAGGAAGAUGGAAUUAGUUGUGUAGGGGUAAAAUCCGUAGAGAUAACUAGGAAUACCAAAAGCGAAGGCAAUCUACUGGAACACUACUGAUGCUGAGGCGCGAAAGCGUGGGGAGCAAACAGGAUUAGAAACCCUAGUAGUCC
rnacentral:rRNA from 1 species